rnacentral:rRNA from 1 species
GGCACCUACGGGGGGCAGCAGUGAGGAAUAUUGGUCAAUGGCCGGAAGGCUGAACCAGCCAAGUCGCGUGAGGGAAUAAGGCCCUAUGGGUCGUAAACCUCUUUUGUCAGGGAGCAAAGGCGUCCACGAGUGGACGAAAGGAGAGUACCUGAAGAAAAAGCAUCGGCUAACUCCGUGCCAGCAGCCGCGGUAAUACGGAGGAUGCGAGCGUUAUCCGGAUUUAUUGGGUUUAAAGGGUGCGCAGGCGGAAGAUCAAGUCAGCGGUAAAAUUGAGAGGCUCAACCUCUUCGAGCCGUUGAAACUGG